rnacentral:rRNA from 1 species
GUGAAUGAUGGAAACGAAUGUGCUUUCUUAACUCACAUGGGCAAAGAUUCCAACGCUCAUAACUUUUCUCAGCGGUGUCAUGAUAAUCUGAAAAAUAGUUUGACUCACAUCGACAAGGCAAUGGUGAAAGUGUGUGCAAAAAAGGUCGCAGAUGCAAGGCUAAGGCUUAAAGUUACAAUUGAUUGCAUCAAGUAA